GAUGAACGCUGGCGGCGUGCCUAAUACAUGCAAGUCGAGCGAACGGACGAGAAGCUUGCUUCUCUGAUGUUAGCGGCGGACGGGUGAGUACCACGUGGAUAACCUACCUAUAAGACUGGGAUAACUUCGGGAAACCGGAGCUAAUACCGGAUGAUAUUUUGAACCGCAUGGUUCAAAAGUGAAAGACGGUCUUGCUGUCACUUAUAGAUGGAUCCGCGCUGCAUUAGCUAGUUGGUAAGGUAACGGCUUACCAAGGCAACGAUGCAUAGCCGACCUGAGAGGGUGAUCGGCCACACUGGAACUGAGACACGGUCCAGACUCCUACGGGAGGCAGCAGUAGGGAAUCUUCCGCAAUGGGCGAAAGCCUGACGGAGCAACGCCGCGUGAGUGAUGAAGGUCUUCGGAUCGUAAAACUCUGUUAUUAGGGAAGAACAUAUGUGUAAGUAACUGUGCACAUCUUGACGGUACCUAAUCAGAAAGCCACGGCUAACUACGUG
rnacentral:rRNA from 1 species